CCCUUAGAUGUCCGGGGCCGCACGCGCGCUACACUGAAGGAAUCAGCGUGGCUUUCUCCCUGACCCGAAAGGGUUGGGAAACCCGUUGAAUCUCCUUCGUGAUAGGGAUUGGGGCUUGAAAUUGUUCCCCAUGAACGAGGAAUUCCCAGUAAGCGCGAGUCAUAAGCUCGCGUUGAUUACGUCCCUGCCCUUUGUACACACCGCCCGUCGCUGCCCGGAACUGAGCCGUUUCGAGAAGACUGGGGACUGCGAACUUUGGGCUGGAAAACAGCUUUUUGUUUGUGGAAACCACUUUAAUCGCAGCGGCUUGAACCGGGCAAAAGUCGUAACA
rnacentral:rRNA from 1 species